UAGUGGCCUUGUUCUCCGCUUUUCAGUUUUGCUGAUUGACGACGUCGCUCUGCUCACUUCAGCCUGCGGCCCGCCAUCUCCUUGAGACCUAACACCAUGCCUUCAAUUAAGUUGCAGAGUUCUGAUGGAGAGAUAUUUGAAGUUGAUGUUGAAAUUGCAAAACAGUCUGUGACCAUCAAGACUAUGUUGGAAGAUUUGGGAAUGGAUGAUGAAGGAGAUGAUGAUCCAGUCCCCUUGCCAAAUGUUAAUGCAGCAAUAUUAAAAAAGGUCAUUCAGUGGUGCACCCACCACAAGGAUGAUCCUCCUCCUCCUGAGGAUGAUGAGAACAAAGAAAAAUGAACAGAUGAUAUACCUGUUUGGGAUCAAGAAUUCCUGAAAGUUGACCAAGGGACACUCUUUGAGCUUAUAUUGGCAGCAAACUACUUAGACAUCAAAGGUUUGCUUGACGUUACCUGCAAGACUGUUGCUAAUAUGAUCAAGGGCAAAACUCCUGAGGAGAUUCGAAAGACAUUCAAUAUCAAAAAUGAUUUUACUGAAGAAGAGGAAGCCCAGGUACGCAAAGAGAACCAGUGGUGUGAGGAGAAGUGAAAUUUCGUAUCUAACGCUGUAACACUGUAAGGAUUAUUCCAAAUACUAGUUGCACUGCUUUGUUUAUAAUUGUUAAUAUUAGAAAAACAGUCAACAAA